rnacentral:rRNA from 1 species
AGUGAACGCUGGCGGCAGGCCUAAUACAUGCAAGUCGAACGGCAGCACAGCAGAGCUUGCUCUGUGGGUGGCGAGUGGCGGACGGGUGAGGAAUACGUGGGAAUCUGCCCAGUCGUGGGGAUAACGUAGGGAAACUUACGCUAAUACCGCAUGCGCCCUUCGGGGGAAAGCCGGGGGACCUUCGGGCCUGGCGCGAUUGGAUGAGCCCACGUCGGAUUAGCUAGUUGGCGGGGUAAAGGCCCACCAAGGCGACGAUCCGUAGCUGGUCUGAGAGGAUGAUCAGCCACACUGGAACUGAGACACGGUCCAGACUCCUACGGGAGGCAGCAGUAGGGAAUAUUGGACAAUGGGCGCAAGCCUGAUCCAGCCAUGCCGCGUGAGUGAAGAAGGCCCUCGGG